CCCUUAGAUGUCCGGGGCUGCACGCGCGCUACACUGUAGAAAGCAGCGUGCUUUAAAACCUUUCCUGAAAAGGAUGGGUAACCCCAGCAAAAUUCUACGUGCUUGGGAUAGAGAUUUGCAAUUUUCUCUCUUGAACGAGGAGUUCCCAGUAAGUGCGAGUCAUCAGCUCGCGUUGAUUACGUCCCUGCCCUUUGUACACACCGCCCGUCGCUACUACCGAUUGGGAAAAUUUUAGAGAGUCCUGGACUAAUGAUUGUUCGGCUUCACGGCCUUACUUUCGUCGGGAAAGAAUUCGAUAAUAUUUUUCUAGAGGAAGUAAAAGUCGUAACA
rnacentral:rRNA from 1 species